UCUUCGCAGAUUUGACAUAUCCUAACUCGAAUCUCGUGCCCGGAGUACAUUACACUUCCAUAACUCAAGAAGACGUAUACCGUCCAAGCUCUUCCACCCCAAAUAGCAAACAACACUUGUCUUGAUAAGUUAUAGAGUUGACAAGCGCCCUCAAGUAGCAGACUACCUUGGUGAAUCAGCUCUUGUAGCGUGCCCCCAAAUGAGGUGUAAGGUAGAUAACGAACCUCUCCAGCAGCGUCACGGCAAACAGCCACUCGAUUAGUCAAUACUGGUAUGCUGGGAGCAAACGAAUACCAGCCCAACUACCAAGAACUGGGGCCAUGCCUUAUUCUCAAUACUCUAGAUAAUUCAAUACUAAAGUAACACAUCACCAGUAGUCGAGCAUCACGGACCUAGUGGUCCAAUUCCUCUUGAUGCGCAUAACUUGGCCUAAGCCAGCCUCAACUCUGCAUUCACAAUCGUGCCUAUCUGCUUCAUGGCUCCCGGCAACCCUUAAUUUGUCACCAUGGCUUCUAACUGUACCGAUCUUACACCAUGGCUCCCAGCCGUGCCGAUCUUGCUUUAUGGCUCGUGCCGACUAAGCCCAUGACACUCUAAACUUCAAAGCAUCCUACGACAGAGCAGAAGACAGGGCUUUAUUAGUAGCCUCUGCUAGCAAAAGACUUAGCGGUGAAAAAGCUUGCAAUCCAUUCAAAUUCUCAGCUCAUCACCAACUAAGCCUUAAAUGGGUACAUAAUGAAACAUUUAACGAUGGCGCAAUACUUGAAGAAAGUCUAGGAGCAGCUCACCGUGCUUUCACAUACAUCUUUACAUAAGUUCCACAAGCAGAUUGCCAAACAAAGACCUCACAUGUUGAGGAUUAUUUUAGUUAUCUAGCACUUAAUUUUUCCUUAGCUGCACUCACAACAACGACUUUCAUGCUCUUCAGUGCGAGAAGGUAAACCAAUUCCUUGACACCCAUAUGGGUCUGCUUUUUAGUGCAAGAGGGUAAACUAAUUCCCCGACACUCAUCUAGGUCUAUUCUCCAGUGUGAGAGGGUAAAUUAAUUACUCUCCAGUGCGAUAAGGUAAACUAAUUCCCCGACAUUCAUCCAAGUUUGCUCUCCAGUGCGAGAGGAUAAACCAAUUGCUCUCUAGUGUGAAAAGGUAAACUAAUUCACCGACACCCAUCUGGGUCUGCUCUCCAACGUGAGAGGAUAAGUGAGAGGGUAAACUAAUUGCUUUCCAAUGCAAGAGGGUAAACUAAUUCCCUGACACCUAUCUCGGUCUGCUAUCCAAUGCAAGAAGAUAAACUAAUUGUUCUCUAGUGCGAUAAGGUAAAUUAAUUCCCCGACACCCAUUUGGGUUUGCUCUCAAGUGCGAAAGGAUAAACUAAUUGCUCUCCAGUGCAAGAAUGCCACACAACUCAAAAGAUCGAAU
rnacentral:lncRNA from 1 species